ACCCGCUGAACUUAAGCAUAUCAAUAAGCGGAGGAAAAGAAACCAACAGGGAUUGCCCUAGUAACGGCGAGUGAAGCGGCAACAGCUCAAAUUUGAAAUCUGGCUCUUUUAGGGUCCGAGUUGUAAUUUGCAGAGGGCGCUUUGGCGUUGGCAGCGGUCCAAGUUCUUUGGAACAGGACGUCACAGAGGGUGAGAAUCCCGUACGUGGUCGCUAUCCUUCGCCGUGUAAAGCCCCUUCGACGAGUCGAGUUGUUUGGGAAUGCAGCUCUAAUGGGAGGUAAAUUUCUUCUAAAGCUAAAUACUGGCCAGAGACCGAUAGCGCACAAGUAGAGUGAUCGAAAGAUGAAAAGCACUUUGGAAAGAGAGUCAAAUAGCACGUGAAAUUGUUGAAAGGGAAGCGCUUGCAGCCAGACUUGCCUGUAGUUGCUUAUCUGGACUUUUGUCCGGUGCACUCUUCUGCGGGCAGGCCAGCAUCAGUUUGGGCAGUUGGAUAAAGGUCUCUGUCAUGUACCUCCUUUCGGGGAGGCCUUAUAGGGGAGACGACAUGCAACCAGCCUGGACUGAGGUCCGCGCAUCUGCUAGGAUGCUGGCGUAAUGGCUGU
rnacentral:rRNA from 1 species